rnacentral:rRNA from 1 species
ACCUACCUAUAAGACUGGGAUAACUUCGGGAAACCGGAGCUAAUACCGGAUAAUAUUUCGAACCGCAUGGUUCGAUAGUGAAAGAUGGCUUUGCUAUCACUUAUAGAUGGACCUGCGCCGUAUUAGCUAGUUGGUAAGGUAACGGCUUACCAAGGCAACGAUACGUAGCCGACCUGAGAGGGUGAUCGGCCACACUGGAACUGAGACACGGUCCAGACUCCUACGGGAGGCAGCAGUAGGGAAUCUUCCGCAAUGGGCGAAAGCCUGACGGAGCAACGCCGCGUGAGUGAUGAAGGUCUUCGGAUCGUAAAACUCUGUUAUUAGGGAAGAACAAACGUGUAAGUAACUGUGCACGUCUUGACGGUACCUAAUCAGAAAGCCACGGCUAACUACGUGCCAGCAGCCGCGGUAAUACGUAGGUGGCAAGCGUUAUCCGGAAUUAUUGGGCGUAAAGCGCGCGUAGGCGGUUUUUUAAGUCUGAUGUGAAAGCCCACGGCUCAACCGUGGAGGGUCAUUGGAAACUGGAAAACUUGAGUGCAGAAGAGGAAAGUGGAAUUCCAUGUGUAGCGGUGAAAUGCGCAGAGAUAUGGAGGAACACCAGUGGCGAAGGCGACUUUCUGGUCUGUAACUGACGCUGAUGUGCGAAAGCGUGGGGAUCAAACAGGAUUAGAUACCCUGGUAGUCCACGCCGUAAACGAUGAGUGCUAAGUGUUAGGGGGUUUCCGCCCCUUAGUGCUGCAGCUAACGCAUUAAGCACUCCGCCUGGGGGAGUACGACCGCAAGGUUGAAAACUCAAAAGGAAUUGACGGGGAACCCGCACAAAGCGGUGGGAGCAUGUGGGUUUAAUUUCGAAGCAACGCGGAAGAACCUUUACCAAAAUCUUUGACAUCCUUUUGACCCUUUCUAGGAGAUAGAAAGUUUCCCCCUUCGGGGGAACAAAGUGACAAGUGGGGNCAUGGNUUGUCCGCCAGCUCCGGNCCGGGNAGAAUGUUNGGNUUAAAGUCCCCNCAAACGAAG